UCCACUAUUUCUAAAUUGUUCUAAAAGCUACCUCGCCGUUUGAAAACGUCACCGAAAAUUAGACUACUGUACGUUCACAUAACCUGAGUAUCAGGCUUUCGGUAUUGAAGAGAGCCUGACACAAUUCGCCUCUACGGCCUUUCCGCCCCCAGAAUAUUUGCCACUUAAAAUUAUUUCCGGUUGUAGCAUAUUUCCGGUUGUCCGCUAUGUAAAUACGCAAUUUUCGUUAUUUACAGUUUUGUAUAUUAAAAUUUGAAUAAAUACGGAGAAAAUUCGGUAUGUAUUUGUCGAAAUAUUCACAUGAUCGAAUUCUAAACGUAAACUAUGCCUCAUUCGGGGAACCAUAGCUCGAUGGCUUUUUUCCAGGAGCCUAAAGAGACAACAUUCGGCACUCUGAAUAGGAUUUCUUCUUCCUCGGUCCUCGUGUCAUGUUAAUAGUUUAUUCGAGACAACUGUCUCACUUCAAAUUCGUUUCAAAUACGUCUGACACAGCGGCUAUUGUCUUCAAUUUCUGCCUGAUGUUGGCAUAUUAGUUCGAGAGAGCUGACAACUAUAUCCUUGCAGGUCUUGGAAAACAGCUCGGCAAUAAACUGAUAAAUAAGGCUUUUAAUAACUUUUAAAUUUAAAUAUACGGAACUAAAUAUUUGAAAAUUUCGGACAUCCACAUAUUUUCGUUCUAGGGCGACUAUUUACACGGCGAGAUAUUUAGACACGAUUUCUACUUAAACGUCUUCUCGUACUUAUUUUGUCAUUUUUAG